AAAUUGAAGAGUUUGAUCAUGGCUCAGAUUGAACGCUGGCGGCAGGCCUAACACAUGCAAGUCGAGCGGUAGCACAGAGAGCUUGCUCUCGGGUGACGAGCGGCGGACGGGUGAGUAAUGUCUGGGAAACUGCCUGAUGGAGGGGGAUAACUACUGGAAACGGUAGCUAAUACCGCAUAACGUCGCAAGACCAAAGAGGGGGACCUUCGGGCCUCUUGCCAUCAGAUGUGCCCAGAUGGGAUUAGCUAGUAGGUGGGGUAACGGCUCACCUAGGCGACGAUCCCUAGCUGGUCUGAGAGGAUGACCAGCCACACUGGAACUGAGACACGGUCCAGACUCCUACGGGAGGCAGCAGUGGGGAAUAUUGCACAAUGGGCGCAAGCCUGAUGCAGCCAUGCCGCGUGUAUGAAGAAGGCCUUCGGGUUGUAAAGUACUUUCAGCGAGGAGGAAGGCAUUGUGGUUAAUAACCACAGUGAUUGACGUUACUCGCAGAAGAAGCACCGGCUAACUCCGUGCCAGCAGCCGCGGUAAUACGGAGGGUGCAAGCGUUAAUCGGAAUUACUGGGCGUAAAGCGCACGCAGGCGGUCUGUCAAGUCGGAUGUGAAAUCCCCGGGCUCAACCUGGGAACUGCAUUCGAAACUGGCAGGCUAGAGUCUUGUAGAGGGGGUAGAAUUCCAGGUGUAGCGGUGAAAUGCGUAGAGAUCUGGAGGAAUACCGGUGGCGAAGGCGGCCCCCUGGACAAAGACUGACGCUCAGGUGCGAAAGCGUGGGGAGCAAACAGGAUUAGAUACCCUGGUAGUCCACGCCGUAAACGAUGUCGACUUGGAGGUUGUUCCCUUGAGGAGUGGCUUCCGGAGCUAACGCGUUAAGUCGACCGCCUGGGGAGUACGGCCGCAAGGUUAAAACUCAAAUGAAUUGACGGGGGCCCGCACAAGCGGUGGAGCAUGUGGUUUAAUUCGAUGCAACGCGAAGAACCUUACCUACUCUUGACAUCCACGGAAUUUAGCAGAGAUGCUUUAGUGCCUUCGGGAACCGUGAGACAGGUGCUGCAUGGCUGUCGUCAGCUCGUGUUGUGAAAUGUUGGGUUAAGUCCCGCAACGAGCGCAACCCUUAUCCUUUGUUGCCAGCGGUCCGGCCGGGAACUCAAAGGAGACUGCCAGUGAUAAACUGGAGGAAGGUGGGGAUGACGUCAAGUCAUCAUGGCCCUUACGAGUAGGGCUACACACGUGCUACAAUGGCGUAUACAAAGAGAAGCGACCUCGCGAGAGCAAGCGGACCUCAUAAAGUACGUCGUAGUCCGGAUUGGAGUCUGCAACUCGACUCCAUGAAGUCGGAAUCGCUAGUAAUCGUAGAUCAGAAUGCUACGGUGAAUACGUUCCCGGGCCUUGUACACACCGCCCGUCACACCAUGGGAGUGGGUUGCAAAAGAAGUAGGUAGCUUAACCUUCGGGAGGGCGCUUACCACUUUGUGAUUCAUGACUGGGGUGAAGUCGUAACAAGGUAACCGUAGGGGAACCUGCGGUUGGAUCACCUCCUUACCUGAAAGAA
rnacentral:rRNA from 1 species